ACAAGGUCUCCGUUGGUGAACCAGCGGUGGGAUCAUUACUGAGUUUACGCUCUACAACCCUUAGUGAACAUACCUACAACUGUUGCUUCGGCGGGUAGGGUCUCCGCGACCCUCCCGGCCUCCCGCCUCCGGGCGGGUCGGCGCCCGCCGGAGGAUAACCAAACUCUGAUUUAACGACGUUUCUUCUGAGUGGUACAAGCAAAUAAUCAAAACUUUUAACAACGGAUCUCUUGGUUCUGGCAUCGAUGAAGAACGCAGCGAAAUGCGAUAAGUAAUGUGAAUUGCAGAAUUCAGUGAAUCAUCGAAUCUUUGAACGCACAUUGCGCCCGCCAGCAUUCUGGCGGGCAUGCCUGUUCGAGCGUCAUUUCAACCCUCAAGCUCUGCUUGGUGUUGGGGCCCUACAGCCGAUGUAGGCCCUCAAAGGUAGUGGCGGACCCUCCCGGAGCCUCCUUUGCGUAGUAACUUUACGUCUCGCACUGGGAUCCGGAGGGACUCUUGCCGUAAAACCCCCCAAUUUUCCAAAGGUUGACCUCGGAUCAGGUAGGAAUACCCGCUGAACUUAAGCAUAUCAAUAGGCCGGAGGAAA
rnacentral:rRNA from 1 species